UUGACCUCGGAUGAGGUAAGGAUACCUCGUAAACUUAAACAAAAAAAUGGGCCGAGUAAAAUUUUUUGGUGGGGCCCUUUGGGGCAACAUACACAAGGUUUAGUAGAACAAGUUGCUAAGGGGGAACGCUGGCACGUCGUGUGCUCUAUAUUCAUACUGACGGGCCGGCGAAGCAACUAAAAUAUGUGGACCGACGAAUGUAUAAUUAUUGAAAUUUGAAUUGGAUGGAGAGAAA
rnacentral:rRNA from 1 species